rfam:Spiribacter curvatus strain TAH-SP71, complete genome.
UAUGGAUAAUUGAGAGCCAGGGUGCGAAGCUGGAAGGUUCGACUGCGACCGCGAGGGAGCAGAACGACCGCGCACAGCGCGUGUCGGCCCGAAGGGCGAGGCCGCAGGCCGAGUAAUCCUGGUCCCCCAGCCA